rnacentral:misc_RNA from 1 species
CAACCCUCAAGUCCCCUGUGGACUCGGUGUUGGGGACCGGCGAGACAGCAGCGGAUCUUCUACCGCGGCGAGUCGCCGCCCCCUAAAUGACUUGGCGGCCUCGUCGCGGCCCUCCUCUGCGUAGUAUAGCACACCUCGCAACAGGAGCCCGGCGAAUGGCCACUGCCGUAAAACACCCAACUUUUUCAG